AGAGAUUUGAAUUUACCCACCCGGCUUUUAGCACUGCUCUUGUUUAGCUCAACAGAUGUGUGACGACUCAUUGCAUUUAGUCCUAUGGAGAUAACUGGGGCCAGUCACUCUGACCCUUGUGACAAGAAACAGGAUCAAAGGGAAACGCAUGCUGCUUGUCAUUUAACACACUGUGCUGGACUGAUGUGAAGCAAUUGUGCCCACUUAUCAACAAAGAUCAUCUGAAGCAUCCCAUUCAGUGUGUGGAGGACUCACUACUGGAUCAAGAUGCAAUAGUGCUGUUUGUCUCUGAAUCAUUUCCCAUCAAACAUUUCAUCGGUCAAAUAAAAGUUUCUGUUCAAUGCGUGGAUGAUCCAGAGGGUGAAGAUGCAGAAAUCGUGAUUGACUAUCAAUCAUUUCACUUGACGCCAAGGCCCACUGCAUCCUGAUGUAGUAUUUGUGGUCAUUCUAUUUUCAAUUUAUACAUU